CCGGUUGAUCCCGCCGGAGGUUAUUGCUAUCCGGAUUCGACUAAGCCAUGCAAGUCUUGAUGUUCAUUUAUGGACAUUAGGGCAGAAAGCUCAGUAACAUGUAGUUAAUAUGCCCUCAAGUCAGGGAUAAUCUCGGGAAACUGAGGCUAAUACCUGAUAGAUAAGAAAUACUGGAAUGUUUUCUUUUCAAAAGCUUUUGCGCUUGAGGAUUGGACUGCACCGGAUUAGGUUGUUGUUAGGGUAACGUCCUGGCAAGCCGAUAAUCCGUACGAGCCUUGAGAGAGGAAGCUCGGAGAUGGAUUCUGAGACAAGAAUCCAGGCCCUACGGGGCGCAGCAGGCGCGAAACUUUCCCAAUGCACGCAAGUGUGAGGAAGGGAUCUGGAGUGCAUUCUCUUACAUAGGGGAUGCUUUUGUGGAGUGUAAACAGCUCCAAGAAUAAGUGGUGGGUAAGACGGGUGCCAGCCGCCGCGGUAAUACCCGCGCCACGAGUGAUAACCACGUUUAUUGGGCUUAAAGCGUUCGUAGCCGGUCCAGAAAGUCCUUAGUGAAAUCCCGCAGCUAACUGUGGGGCUUGCUAGGGAAACUAUUGGACUUGGGACCGGGAGAGGUCUGGGGUACUCAAAGGGUAGGGGUAAAAUCCUGUAAUCCUUUGGGGACCACCUGUGGCGAAGGCGCCAGACCAGAACGGAUCCGACGGUGAGGGACGAAAGCCAGGGGAGCAAAGGGGAUUAGAUACCCCCGUAGUCCUGGCUGUAAACGAUGCCCACUAGACAUUGGCAAUCUUACGUGGGUUGUCAGUGUCGUAGCGAAAGCGUUAAGUGGGCCGCCUGGGGAGUACGGUCGCAAAGCUGAAACUUAAGGGAAUUGGCGGGGGAGCACACAAGGGGUGGAGGCUGCGGUUUAAUUGGAGUCAACGCCGGGAAUC
rnacentral:rRNA from 1 species